rnacentral:rRNA from 1 species
UGGGGAAUAUUGCACAAUGGGCGCAAGCCUGAUGCAGCCAUGCCGCGUGUGUGAAGAAGGCCUUCGGGUUGUAAAGCACUUUCAGCGAGGAGGAAGGUGGUGAGCUUAAUACGCUCAUCAAUUGACGUUACUCGCAGAAGAAGCACCGGCUAACUCCGUGCCAGCAGCCGCGGUAAUACGGAGGGUGCAAGCGUUAAUCGGAAUUACUGGGCGUAAAGCGCACGCAGGCGGUUUGUUAAGUCAGAUGUGAAAUCCCCGGGCUCAACCUGGGAACUGCAUUUGAAACUGGCAAGCUAGAGUCUCGUAGAGGGGGGUAGAAUUCCAGGUGUAGCGGUGAAAUGCGUAGAGAUCUGGAGGAAUACCGGUGGCGAAGGCGGCCCCCUGGACGAAGACUGACGCUCAGGUGCGAAAGGCGUGGGGCAGCAAACAGGAUUAGAUACCCUGGUAGUCCACGCUGUAAAACGAUGUCGAUUUUGGAGGUUGUGCCCCUUGAGGCGUGGCUUCCGGAGCUAACG